CGUGAUUGCUAUGGUAGCGGGCGACAGUAUUUUUUUGACAGUAAUUUUUUUCCCUCUGGGUCUGACAGUAUAUCUAUGUAACGAUGGCCUAUGGGAGUUUAGCAUUGUGAAUAAAAUUCAGACUCCCUUCGCUAAGAUUCCAAGCAGCGAGUUGCCAGCACGUAUUAGGAAAGGUUUACGUCUAGAAAUGCCGGACAUAUGUGACGACAGUGGUAUGACGUCAUGGCGAGAUGCUGGUCGUACCAAGCUGUCAGACGCCCGCGAUUUGAGGAAAUCCGCGUAGAGAUGGACAACGUCUUCCGCACCACGACACGGCUAAAAUAACACUUAAAUUGCGUUAAAGAUAGAUUGUAGCUGACGAUAGCAUCUUUCCCUUGACGACAUUUUAAGCAAAAUAUGUUUUACAUUUUAAUACUUGCAGCCUAUGACCUAGUUUUCUUCAUGACAUUUGAGGCAUAUUCAUAAUUAACUUGAUAAUGGAUAGAAUUACAUUACAAUUUUCUUAAAAAUAAAUGAAGCUUGUAGAUUGUAAAAUUGCUUUUUGCAGAUUAUACAUGGCGAUAUAA